AUGCUGUAUAAUAACGACCAAAUAAAUUAGAAGGCUGGAUUUCUGCACAAAAAUAAUAUUGGAAAAAGUCAUACAAAUUGAACUUUGAUAGCGCCCUCUAUUGACAGGCUAAUUUCAUUACGAUUCAAGUUAUAUCGCCAAUUGUUCUUCAUCAAUGUUCUCCAAUAAUUUCACGAAAUCGCCUUAAAAAUCACAGAUUAUUCUUCAUCCAUCAACCAGUUAAUUCUCGCCCGUGCGUGCAGUAUAAAAUACAGUACUCUUACCUUCAUUGGUGAUGAUCAGUGUUGUAGCCACGGUGGGCGACGGUGGGCGGGCCUGCCCAGUACUGACAAUUUCCGCCCAGCACUUCAGCUGAAAAACAGACUUCCAAUACCACAACUAGUUCCAAUGGGAAGAGGUUGAAUCAAGGAAGAGGCUGAGUGAGAAGAAUGCAGAGGACUUGAAGCAUAUGGAUAAAAGACGAAGAGACAACCAGGAGCUCCACAGGUCUACAAGAGACAUGACCUGAAAAGCUCAUAGUAGAAUGAGAAGAUGGAAAACCUCUUCAAUUGUUUGAGUUCUGCUCAGAUUUUGUUUGGCGAUGAGUGAUGUUCAGGUAAUACUGAUUUGAAUUAUCAUGACAACAAUGACCAAUGGUCCAUGUAUACAAAAAUAUUUCUUUUAACAGUACUAAAGAAUGAUCCACACAGAUAUAUCUUGGCUAUAAAUUGUGUUUUUUUCCUGCCUUUUUGGAGAACAAUAUUGUUUACUCCACAAAUAUACGAACAACAGUUUACGUAUUAUAGAUAGCCUUUUAUUGGGACCCUUUGAGUUUUGUAUGUGUAAAUGUAGAAAGAGGUAGCUUCAAGAUGAUAUACAAGUAGGGGGUAUGAGAGAACAAUGGCAAAUACCAAACCACAUUAAAAACGAAAAUCUUAUUGAAAAACAGAGGGGUUUGAUCUUAAAAGAACAAAAGCCACACUCCUGUCAGCAACAAUAGAAAAAAAAUGCCACCCUACUACAUGGAAGAGCGUAUUUAUCAGUUCAUACUGUUGUAAAUCUGUUCUGGUGGCUGUUAUCCUUGCUCACCACAGAAGUUUGUUAGAAAUCCAGGUCAGUUAAGUUGAUGUUCAAAAACUUUAUUUGUAGAUAUGGUUGAACAGAGUGCGAAAUAUCUUCAUGUUUGAUGGGAAAUCAAGCAUCAUCAUUAUUUGUGUCAUGGUCGGUUCUGCACUCAAGCUUGCAAGAAGAAGAUUGGAAUCAGGUCAGUGCAUUGUAUCAAUGAGAAUGGGUCAUUUUUAUUGUUUACGCAUAAUUUACAUGAUGUUGUUAAAUGGACCAUGCAAUCGCCACAAAAACAUAAUAUCAAAGAUAUCAUGAGAGGCGUUGUUUGGAGAUGAUGGAAUCUUCUUUUGUGUGUAUGUUGGUGAAGAUAGAGACUAUACAUUCGUCAGAACCCCUGAAGAAUGUGUUUGUCAAUAUAAGUUAUGGUAUCCUUGUUCUUUUUGUCUUGCCUAAAAAGGCGCACGAUACUGCACAAUCUUUGAGGUAUCCAUGGUACCACAUUGAUUCCCAAAAUUGCAACAAAGAUUUUUAUCAUGUACUCUUUAUUUUACUUAUCAAGUAAGAAAACCUGAAGGGAAACUUACUUGGUAGAUCUUAAACAACUUAGGUUUGAACAAGGAAAAGUUUACUCGAGCGGCCCGCCUCAGUACAAUUUUCUCUGUUCAAACCCCAUUGCUUUACUUUACUUGCAGUAGUCAUUGAGAAUGAGACAUUCAUAAGAUGUGCGAGAAGAUUUGCGACAAGAUGUGCAGGGAGGCAGCCCAGCAGGACCUGAUGCAAACGCUGUUGAAGAGGUUCGAGCCCUUAAAGAACCUUUUGAUGCCAAGAAGCUUUUCUGUAGUGAAAUCCUUGCCAUCAUCCAGCAAGACACACAAGACAAACAAGUUGCAGUCCUUCGAAAAUUUAGGUAAACACAAUUUAACUUUUCUUUUACAUUCCAAGUUGUGUAUGAUUUUACUGUCCAUGUUUUUUUUUAGUGUACUUAGGCCUUGUGUACAAUCAAAUUUUGCCUCAAAAUGUUUGCAAGGGUACACUGUAAAACUUUGCCCUUAAAAAUUACAGUAAUUUACUGUCAGCUGAGUUGCCAGUAAGUUAGUGUGAUUUUUACCGUCAUUACUGUAUAUAAAUUUUAAAACAAAUAAGUAAAAACAAAGUUUGGAGUUUUAACACACUUCUAUUGUAGCACAACUAGCUAGUGUACCCACAACAUGUUUAGAAUAUUGUGUGGUUUGGAUCCUACAAACUGUUUUGUUAAGCAGGUGUCAAAUUGAAAACAUAAUUUAAACAUGUUGAAUUUAAAUUACUGACGAAAAGUGAUUUGUGUGUAACCGGAUUUUGUACAGAAUUCAGUUCAUUUAAUAUUGAAGAAUAUUGAUGUAAACACACUGCCUACUGCAUGGAUGCUUUGUUCAAGUUAAAUCAUCCAACAGGGGAACUGUUUUACAAAGAUGUAGGAGAAAUAUGAGACAAACUCAGCUUCUUUGUGUUACUUGUGAUCAUCACUUGUCUAAUCCAUACCACGAAAUUAGUAAAGGAUCUUUUUCAAGUACAAUUUGUGUGUCAGCAGGCAUGAUAUGAGUUUUGUUGUUAAACAGCAAAAUACUUUCGAGCUAAAUAGAGCCCCAAGGGAAAAAGGCCCUACAACGUGAAUGGGGUAAAGCAGACUUAUAGAAGGGUGGAGUUAAAAACUAAACUAACUCCCCAGUGACUGGCUAGGCAUGCUAAACAAAGGGACAGCUCCCCAAAGCUUUGGCUACCCAAACAACACCCAAAUACUAGAGCGACAGUCCCCUCCCUGGAGGAAAAACUAUAUACAUGUAUGAUGAAAUAAAAAUUAGAACAAAUAAAAAGGUCAAAAUUUACAAGUAAGAAAGAGUUACAAAAAAUAUGGACAGUUAAAAAACUGGACAGAGUUAAAAAACUAUUCAAGUAACUUCAUGAAAUUGGCAGACAGAAAAUCUAACUGAUUUGAGGAAACUGUAGUAUUUUAAAUCGUUUUUAAAGUUUGUUAUUUUUUACUUAUUUAUCUUCAUCUUAUUAGUUAUUUAUAUUUUUUGGGUAUAAUUAUCUGCUGAUGUUAUUAGUUUGUGUCAUAUAUUACGUUUAAAUCUAUAUUCAUAAAUACCCCAGACAGUUUCGCUACUCCUAUUGGUUGAGAGCGCGUCACGUGGUGGUGUUUAAACGGCUGAUAAAAACACAUGGGCGCGCAAGCUCAUGUACUCCAACUUAACUUACACGGAAUGCAAUUCAUAGCUAUUUAUUAGUAAUAUCGCGUUAUCGCUAUUGUGAUAGUUACUAAAAUUUGUACUUACCAAGGUUUGCCUGAAAUUGUGUAUUAGGUCUUGUGUUCUGAUAAAAAUUUUGCCUGAAAUUAUGAAAUUUGCCAGAAACUGUGUACAAGGCUAUUGUACUUCAGCCUCCUGUACUAAAAUUUCAAUGUUGCCGAAAAUGUGUGUACAAUGCUUUAUAUAGCCUUGUUUACUUAUAAAACUUUGCCUGAAAAUGUGUACAAAUGUGCUACAUGUAUAGCAUUUGCUACAAAAUGUGUACAAGGCUUGUGUGUUUGGAAAUGUGUUUAAAGCCAUUAUACACUUUCAGUACAGAAAAAAACACUUAGCUUGAAAAUGUAAGAGCUAUAGUACUUACUAGACUGGUGCAUAUGCCUUGUGUAGUUGUCAAAUUUUGCUUGAAAAUGUUUACAAGGCCUUGUGUACUUUUUUUCUUAAAAUUAUCAAAUUUUGCCUGAAACUGUGUCUCAAACCUAUAUAAAAAUAAUAUAGCCUUGUACAGUUGCCAUAUUUUGCCUGACAGUUAUCAAACCUUGCCUGAAACUGACAAGGCUUAAGAAAUGUGUGUUAGCAAGUUUGGUUGACAAUAUGUUUGUGCUUUUGUGUUGAAAACUAUAGCCUUGUGUACAAAUUCUGAAUUAUCACAUUUUGCCUGAAAAUAUGUACAAGCCUUGCGUACUUACAAAAGUGUUGCUCUUAAACUAAAACUGUCGAACUAUUGUGUACAAGACUAUAGCCUUGUGUACUUCAUCAAAUUUUGCCUGAAAUGAUCAAAUUUUGCCUGAAAAUAAGUACACAAGCCUUUUGUACUGAUCAA